rnacentral:rRNA from 1 species
ACGAACGCUGGCGGCAUGCCUAACACAUGCAAGUCGCACGAGACCUUCGGGUCUAGUGGCGCACGGGUGCGUAACGCGUGGGAACCUGCCUUUAGGUUCGGAAUAACUCAGAGAAAUUUGAGCUAAUACCGGAUGAUGUCUUCGGACCAAAGAUUUAUCGCCUUUAGAUGGGCCCGCGUUGGAUUAGCUAGUUGGUGGGGUAAAGGCCUACCAAGGCGACGAUCCAUAGCUGGUCUGAGAGGAUGAUCAGCCACACUGGGACUGAGACACGGCCCAGACUCCUACGGGAAGCAGCAGUGGGGAAUAUUGGACAAUGGGCGAAAGCCUGAUCCAGCAAUGCCGCGUGAGUGAUGAAGGCCUUAGGGUUGUAAAGCUCUUUUACCCGAGAUGAUAAUGACAGUAUCGGGAGAAUAAGCUCCGGCUAACUCCGUG